rnacentral:rRNA from 1 species
CUGUGAGCUCGAUGAGUAGGGCGGGACACGUGGUAUCCUGUCUGAAUAUGGGGGGACCAUCCUCCAAGGCUAAAUACUCCUGACUGACCGAUAGUGAACCAGUACCGUGAGGGAAAGGCGAAAAGAACCCCGGCGAGGGGAGUGAAAAAGAACCUGAAACCGUGUACGUACAAGCAGUGGGAGCACGCUUAGGCGUGUGACUGCGUACCUUUUGUAUAAUGGGUCAGCGACUUAUAUUCUGUAGCAAGGUUAACCGAAUAGGGGAGCCGAAGGGAAACCGAGUCUUAACUGGGCGUUAAGUUGCAGGGUAUAGACCCGAAACCCGGUGAUCUAGCCAUGGGCAGGUUGAAGGUUGGGUAACACUAACUGGAGGACCGAACCGACUAAUGUUGAAAAAUUAGCGGAUGACUUGUGGCUGGGGGUGAAAGGCCAAUCAAACCGGGAGAUAGCUGGUUCUCCCCGAAAGCUAUUUAGGUAGCGCCUCGUGAAUUCAUCUCCGGGGGUAGAGCACUGUUUCGGCAAGGGGGUCAUCCCGACUUACCAACCCGAUGCAAACUGCGAAUACCGGAGAAUGUUAUCACGGGAGACACACGGCGGGUGCUAACGUCCGUCGUGAAGAGGGAAACAACCCAGACCGCCAGCUAAGGUCCCAAAGUCAUGGUUAAGUGGGAAACGAUGUGGGAAGGCCCAGACAGCCAGGAUGUUGGCUUAGAAGCAGCCAUCAUUUAAAGAAAGCGUAAUAGCUCACUGGUCGAGUCGGCCUGCGCGGAAGAUGUAACGGGGCUAAACCAUGCACCGAAGCUGCGGCAGCGACACUAUGUGUUGUUGGGUAGGGGAGCGUUCUGUAAGCCUGUGAAGGUGUGCUGUGAGGCAUGCUGGAGGUAUCAGAAGUGCGAAUGCUGACAUAAGUAACGAUAAAGCGGGUGAAAAGCCCGCUCGCCGGAAGACCAAGGGUUCCUGUCCAACGUUAAUCGGGGCAGGGUGAGUCGACCCCUAAGG